AGAGUUUGAUCAUGGCUCAGAGCGAACGCUGGCGGCAGGCUUAACACAUGCAAGUCGAGCGGGCAUAGCAAUAUGUCAGCGGCAGACGGGUGAGUACGCGUGGGACGUACCUUUUGGUUCGGGACAACACAGGGAAAUUUGUGCUAAUACCGGAUAAGCCCUUACGGGGAAAGAUUUAUCGCCGAAAGAUCGGCCCGCGUCUGAUUAGCUAGUUGGUGAGGUAAUGGCUCACC
rnacentral:rRNA from 1 species